rnacentral:lncRNA from 1 species
CGUGCUUCCAGCUCGUUUUUAAUGUUGUGACUUUCGAAUCGUCGAUCGGCUCCGUUAAACUUGAUCUAGAGUAUUUGAAGUAGCUAGAAAAUAAAUUUUAUGAUUUUACGAUAUCAUUUGCCUAGUGAACGAAGGGGCUCAAAAUCAACGGCUGAAAAUAAAAAUCUUACAAAAUGUAAUAAUAUGAUAUUAAAAUUUUAAAUCAAAGAUAUUGAUCUUGUUUUAUAUAGUAUAAAGAAUUUUCUAUCAAAAUUUCACGUGAUUUGGAUAUUUCUACACCGUUAAACUUGCAAACGGCUCACUACGGCCAUUGAAAUUUGUUGAUUUUGAGCCCAUUCGAUCACUAGGCAAAUGAUAUCGAAAAAUAAUAAAAUUUAUUUUCUAGGUACUCCAAAUACUCUAGAUCAAGUUUAACGGAGCCGAUCGACGAUUCGAAAGUCGCAACAUCGAAAACGAGCUGGAAGCACGGAAGGCUCCGUGCUUCCGAUAGCAUAGUAGCCUCACUCUCUCUAUAUAUAUAUAUAUAUAUAUAUAUAUAUAUAUAUAUAUGAUUGUUGCACAAUAUAUGUCAUGUGUAAUGAAUGAAGUAGGUAGCUUGCUACAUCUUUCUCAGGAAAAAAUAUAUGUUAUGUGUUGCUCGUUUUUGGUCGAAUUAGGACAAAAAUUAGCCAUCAGCACAUAGCAAUAAUUUUAGACGACAGGUCCACAAUGUUGAAUAUAAAUAAUUAUUUGAUCCCCUCUCGAUAUGCUUAACCUUCUGAAGAUAACUAAAUAGUAAUUUCAUACUAUUACACACAUGUACAAUAUGGUAAUGAACAUUAUUAUUAUUUUCUAUUGUUUACCACUGCACGACAAAUGUGAACCCAAGCUGUGGCUAAUCGUCAAAUCUCCUAUUUCCUGAACGACAUGGAUGUAUUCAGUGAUCUCCAACGGUGUCGGUGUGGUGCCGAAGAGUUAUUAAUUACAGAGAAUUUUAAGAAAACUUCGAUUUUUUUUAAUCUUUCUAUAUAAAUUCAUGAGAUUUUAGUUUUUUGAGUGAAAAUCGUCUUGAUCAAAAGCAAAGAUUUAAUUGGUAGCUGGACUUUAAGUGAAAUUUUAUGUAGUUCACCGAAUUUUAAUUUAUUUUAAUUAUUCACUGAAUAUUAAUUUCAAUCUCAAUCUGAUUACUUUAUCAUAUUUCGCAUAAUUAAUUUUUUAAACAAAACAGAGAAACGUACGGUUGCUAAUUUAGCUACCUCAUGAGUGUAAUUCAUUCAAUUUUUAAUUCAUUCGUAGGCUUAGGAUGAAACUUAGCCGAAUAAAAUUAGAUGGAAUAGUUUACCACGGUAGAAUAAUAACUAGCUAUUAAAAUUUAUGUAAACAAAUUCCAAUUGACCAUAUUAUGAAACCACCAUGUCCAUCUAUUAAAUACCGUUUAUUUAGUUAAAAGUUCAUGUUUUUGAUCUAUGGAAAGUCUCAAUUUUUAACUUACAAAUGAACUUGUGCGUGAAAACCCAAGUUCUUUUAUGUGAGAAGUACAAGCACUUCAGGGUGCGUGAAAACCCAAGUUCUUAUUAAAAUUUGUUGAAUGUGUUGUGGUUUAAAAGUUGACAGUGACAUCAUAUUACCACGCUUCCGAUCAAUCAACUGGUUCUCGGGCGAGCUCAACUACAACUCACCGGAGACCCCCCGAGAAAAAGUUGGUUCCGGCGUUCGAGAGCCUGAUUGCGAAGCUCGUAAGUCUGCCGAUCCCGACGGUGCCCCGUGUAAAGGGCUGCGCGUACAGCGCGGGGUUCACGCUUGCGCUCACGCUCGUGCACGACUACUUGGUGCUGUCAAAUGACGCCCUGAUUAGCGUGUGCCAGGACGAGCUUGUUAGCUAUUUAUUAUUAGGCUAAAAUAGGUUCAAUAGUCUGUCCCAUGAUAAUAGGUUCAGAAAAAUAAUAAGUUGAGUGACGGUGCAGUCCACAAAAAGCCUAAUAGUAAGAGGUCCAAUAAUAAAUCCAACAUUCACAUGAUUUAAGCCAUAUCGAAACCCGCGAGUGCUGUGGCUGAAUUGUUAAGUACAAUAGAUGCGCCCUUUCUAUAUGAUUUUGAGAUAGUUGGUUAGCGCUUAUGAUCUGCAGAACUGGCGCGGGGCCACGAGCUGUCGCAUUAUGCCGCGGCACUGCUGAGGGACAAAUUCCUGCCGUCGGUCGCGUGGGCCCUGGCAGCGUUGUCCCACACUACGCCCCCAUAAGCGACUACAUGAAGCGCUACGUAGGGUGGAGCGAAGACCAGGUGGUGGAUGAACUGCUAAGGCCGUCUGCUAACAGAAUCCGCAACUGCAACGGCGGCAACUACAGUAAGUUGCGGGAUCGAGAGGCUAGCUGCUGGCCGAUGUGUCCCGGGUGGCGAACGACGAGUGAAUCAGACCCUACUAAAUCAAAGGCUUGAGUUGAGAACUAGUUUAAUAAUAUGGUGACCAAAAAUAUUACUUUUACAUUAUAAACGGUUCAAAAUUUUUAAAAAUACUUUUAGUCUUUCUUUUUUUUAUGUUAUAAAAUUACAGUUGUACCAGCUAUAAAAGAAACCGCGUAACCACAUACUUCUCCAAUGGCUAUUGUAAUGGUAAUUAUAUAAUUAACAUUAUAGGAGAAAAGAUCGUGAACGCUUUUGAAAUUUUUUGACAUGUUAUAUUAUAAAAAUAAUAGUUUUAGUCACCAUAUUACUAAUUAAACUAGGUCUAAAUCACCCUGAUCAGCUCACGAAUAGUGCGAGGGCCUGGAUCCGUGCAUUUUUUUCGUAUGCAUGUAUUUGUCCCCAGUCAUAUAUAUAUAUAUAUAUAUAUAUAGUGAGGCUACUAUGCUAUCGGAAGCACGGAGCCUUCCGUGCUUCCAGCUUGUUUUCGAUGUUGCAACUUUCGAAUCGACGAUCGGCUCCGUUAAAUAUGAUCUAGAGUAUUUGGAGUACCUAGAAAAUAAAUUUUAUUAUUUUUCGAUAUCAUUUGCCUAGUGAUCGAAUGGACUCAAAAUCAACAAAUUUCAAUGGCCGUAGUGAGCCGUUUGCAAGUUUAACGGUGUAGAAAUAUCCAAAUCACGUGAAAUUUUGAUAGAAAAUUUUUUAUACUAUAUAAAACAAGAUCAAUAUCUUUGAUUUAAAAUUUUAAUAUCAUAUUAUUACAUUUUGUAAAAUUUUUAUUUUCAGCCGCUGAUUUUGAGCCCCUUUGUUCACUAGGCAAAUGAUAUCAUAAAAUCAUAAAAUUUAUUUUCUAGGUACCCCAAAUACUCUAAUAAUUUAUGGACACUUCGUCUUGACGCACUUUUUGUACCCCCACCCACUGCUCAUCCCCGUUGGGGGCUUUGAUCUCCUUCCUCUUCCUUUGCUUUUAAUUUAAUUUUGAGUUUACGACCUUCUCGGUGGCCUAAGCUGCUUCAACUUGUGUGCUCAGUCUUUUACUCAAUGAAUGAAGCAGGUAGCUUGCUAUCUAUUUCUCAAAAAAAAAAAAAGUUAACGAGACCGAUCACGAUUCGAAAGUCGUAAUAUCGAAAACGGCUGGAAGCAUGGAAGGAUCCGUACUUCCGUAGCAUAGUACCAUCCCAUUCUAUAUAUAUAUAUAUAUAUAUAUAUAUAUAUAUAUAUAUAGGGCUUUCUUUGUAAAUAGCUCCCUGACACUAUCCGUUUUAUUCAUUUGAAAAGUUAAAUUACUGUAAAAAGUUACGCAGUAAUAAAAAGAAAAGAAAAGAAAAGAAAAGUACAAGAGUAAGAGAGAGCAAAAAGUAAAGACAGUAGAAGAAUCAGGACCGGAGUUCCUAACUGUCCAUAAGCUUCAUCCAGUGCUACAAAACUCAGCCCACACCCUCCUCGACUCCCUAAUUCAUCAUGAUCUGCUGAUGAUAUACCUACUGUAAUUAGUUUUCUUAGAUAAGUACUCUAUUUAGGGAUAUUUAAGAAUUUAAGUAGAAUCGCGCUACAAAAAAAAAAAAAAGAAAAAGGCCCAGAUUCUCGUGAGAAUCGAGAUAAAAAUAGGGAAGUAAUUAAGGGGGGAAUAAAAUAUUAAAAUAUAAACGCUAAUUAAUUAGAAAUUUUGGCUAACACGUUGGUCCGUACGUAGUAUUGGUUGUAUAUAAUUGGAUAAAACAUUUUAUUAUUAUGUUGUGAACAAUAGUAUGUUCGUUGGGGAGUGCUUUUCCAUUCCGAGUACAGCUAGGAUUAUAAAGUUCCCUCACAGCUCAACUCAACUUUACAAAGUCUACUUAAACAAUUAAACUUGCGCCCGUUGAACAACCCAAUUAACUAACUAAUUAAAUAUAAACUAUUUGAAAUAAGCUUAUAAAUUGCAAAUUUAAAUUUUUUCUCAUUCAUAAGUGACUCACAUGUGUGGUUCCACCUAAAACCAUAUGCAUUAUUGCAGAUUUGGUUUAGGAGAGGAGAAAUGUAAUUAAUAACUCUUCAGCAUCCAGACGACGCGGUUGGUGGUCGAGAAGAAGAGAGAAGAAUAUAUAAGUCAAUUAUGAAUAAGGACAAGUUUUAAUUUCCAAAAUUUUAUCUGAAUUUUUAUCUCAAAUAGUUUAUAUUUAAUUAGUUAGUUAAUUGGAUUGUUUGACCGGCUCAAGUUUGUUUAAGUAGACUUUGUAGAGUUUAAUUGACUUGUGAUUAUUUUAAUGAGAGAGACUUUACAAAUUACAACCCUAGCUGUACUAGAAAUGGGAAAAGCACUUCCCCCAACAAAUAAAUAAUUGUUCACUACAUAAUAAAAUAUUUUUCUUAUCCAAUAAUACACAAUCUAUACCACGUGCGUACAUACUAGCCAAAAUUUCUACUUAAUUAUAUUGACCUUUAUAUUUUAUUUCUCCAUUACUACUCCUCUACUUUUAUCUUGAUACCCGCGUGAAUCAGGGUUUUUUCUUCUUCUUUUUUUUUUUUAGUGAGUCUUAGAUUUCCAGAAAAUUUUAAGAAAACUUCAAAUUUUUUUAAUCUUUGUAUUUAAAUUCUUAAAGUUUAAAAUUUUUGUUUGAAAUUCGUCUUGAUUAAAAGCACAGAUGAAUCACACCAUUGGUGGCUGGACUUUUAAUAAGUAAAAUUUUGUUUAGUUCAUCGAACUUUAAUUUAUUUUAAUUAUCAACUGAACAUUAAUUUCUAUCUCAUUCGGAUUGCUUUAUCACAUUUCGUAUAAUUUUUUAGACAGAACACAAAAACGUUAGCUAAUUUAGCUACCAUAUAGCUAUAAUUUAUUUAAUUUUUAUUGGUAGGCGAAGGAUGAUCAAAUUUAGCGGAACACAAUUAGAAGAAAUAUUUUACCAUAGUAGAAUUAUAAUUAACUAAUAAAAUUUAUCUAAACAAAUUUCAAUUAGCCAAAUUUCAAAACUGCCACGCCCAUCUAUUUUUUUUGAGAAAAAGAUAGCACGCUACCUGCUUCAUUCAUUUAGAGGAUGAAUUAGGCUUACAUAAUGGAGACAGCCGGGGCCUCCGACGGGAGAAAGAGCGUCAAAAUUACAAAGACAAGAAACAAAAAUGACAAGAGACUAAAACCAAAAAGGAAGGAAAAGAGGGUAAGGGAAGCAAGAGCGACAAAUAACUAAAGCCAAAAGAGGAAGAAAGAAAGAGUAAAAGCGACAGGCGUCAAACAGCAGGGAUCCAGCAGGGUCAACAAGGAGCGAUCCAGGUGUCAAGCAGCAGUUUCGCCCGUUCCAGGCACCGAAUAGGGUUGGGGGCAAUAUCUCGAAAGAUUAAACCAUUCAUUUCCGUCCAAACGACCCACCAAAUGGCAGAAAGGAAGGAGAGGGAAAUAAGUCUGUCUUUGGCGUCUCUUAGAUCAAAGUUCAUGUUCUUCACCUAUUAAAAUGACAAAUAAGUCUGCCACGCCCACCUAUUAAAAUGCCAUUUAUUUAGUUAAAAAGUUCAUGUUCUGCACCUAUGGAAAGUCUCCAUUUAUUACGUAAUUAACUUUUCAAAAUAUACCCAUAUAUAUAUAGAGAGAGAGAGAGAAUUCCCAAAGGAGUUUAGUUGCCUACUUAAAAAUGAACUUAUGCACGAAAAUCCAGGUCUUAUGAAAAGUACAACUUCACAGUUUGUUUAAAACACCUAAAUUAAAAAACAAAAGAAUGGGCUCACUUUUCAAGGCUCUUAUUUAAAAAUUCCGUCUCCGUCCCACGAUCUCUGAAUUGCUGAGGAAUGGUCAGCUCCGCAUAAAAUGAAUCGAAAGAUUAAUUUUUGGUAUAAAAAAUAUUUUUUUUGUUUGUUUGAUGUAAUGUUAAAAUAUUUUUUUGUAAAAAUAUUUUUACAGAUUUGAAAAAGAAUUGAAGUUUUUGUUUUUUGCUAUUUUUUGGAGAAAAUUGAAAACUCAAGUAGCGUAAAAAAAAUUUUCAUCUAUUUUUUUUCACCGAACUAAACAAAUGUAAUUUUUUUUUCUUUCAAUCAAAUAAAUAUUGGUGAAAAAUAUAUUUUUUUCUUACAAAUCAAAUACUAUAAAACGUAAAACUUUUUUUCUAUUGAAAUUUUUUUUUUCUAUAAAAAAGUAUUUUUUACGAUUUUACGUUGAACCAAAUGGACCUUAAUACAAAAUUGGCAUCGUGUUAGCACCAAGGAACUCACUAUCUUUAUUUCUUUUUUCUAUUUAACCUGUAAAAGUUAGUUUGGUGUAAAUUGAAUUAUCGGUUAUUACUGGCGCAAAGUUUGAUUUAAAUGCAAAUAGUGAGGACGAGGGCGUGCGGGGCAGAGGUGAGGUGGGUUGUUUCCGCCUCCGCCUCCGUUUCCUCUACGGAGAGAGAAAAAAAAAAGAACGAGAAAAGAAAAAGAGGAGAGAGAAAAAAUAAUAAGGGUAUAUUGAUUAGUUUGUUGAAAAUCUGAUUCGAAUCUGCAAAAUCGAAAAAAGUGGCCCACUUUUACAAAAGCGUAAAACAGUGGAUUUUGUAUGCAAAUUGGCCAAAGAUAAAUUAUAAAACUUUACUAACUUUUUCCAGCUCAUAAUUAAUACGACCUAUUAACUUUAAUUUGACCUGAAAAUAAUUUACUAACUUAUUUUUUACUUGAAUUUUGACCCAUGAAACUUGAUUUGGUCAAAGAUAACACAUUAUAUCAUCAAAUGUUGCUAAUUGCCGAACGAUCCGUUAGCCAGGCUUUCACACCAGAUUAAAUUUAUUUUGUGGGCAAAAUGCAGCUAUUUGCAUCAAAUCAAACUUUGCGCUAGUAAUAACCGAUAAUUCAAUUUACACCAAACUAACUUUACAGGUUAAAUAGAAAAAAGAAAUAAGAUAGUGAGUUCCUUGGUGCUAACACGAUGCCUUAUUUGGAUACAAGUUAAUUAAAUAUUGGUGACUUGAAUAUAAUAAUGUGCAAGAUUUCUUCAUCUAUUAACUUAAGCUGUUGGUUUGGGAUCGAGUCAUUUACCUUGGUAUUAUAUCGGAAGUUAAUUAAAUAGUUCAUGCGGUUUAGUCAUGUUUCGAUUUGACUUCGUUCAGUUCUCAUCUGAGUAGUCUAGUUCUUUCAAUCAGAUUUCGUCCAGCUCUUACAUAAUUAUAUUAGGUUCAUGCCGUCUAUUAGCAUGGCCUAUUAAUUAGGUGCCAAGGAGGUGGGUAAGUUGUGCGCGCGGAUCGAGAACUAGAGUAGUAUUAGGAGCCUAUAAAUAGAGGCAGCCUCUCGAAGCACUCUCCACCCAUCUAUCUACUACCCGCUGAUCAUAUAUAUAGAAUAAGAGUAAACACACACACACACACACGCACACACACAUAUAUAUAUAUAUGUAGCUAGCUAGCUCGAGAGCCAUGGGUUCGGAUGACUCGGUGAGCUAUGACACCAUCGUGAAAGGCGGCCACAAAUUUGCCGUGCUGACCCUGAAGCCAGCGGACAGCCGUCACCUCUUCACAAAGGAGCUCAUCGGGGAGUACAGCAAACGACUCCAGCAGGCCGUCGGCGACAAUGUUCAAGGCCUCAUAACCACCCACCAGGGCAACUGGUUCUCGGGCGGCUUCGACUACCACUCGGCCCCCCCGGUGGAGGAUUUCCGGAAGCUGAUUGCCGAGUUCAUCCAGCUGCCGUUCCCGACGGUGGCCUACAUACGCGGCCGCGCGUACGGGGCAGGAUUCACGCUGGCACUCUUACACGACUACUUAGUGCUGUCGAACAACAGCCCCCUUAGUUUGCGCCAGGACGAGCUGGCUAAUGGGCAUGAGUUGCCGCCGUAUGCUGUGGCGCUGGUGAGGGACAAGUUCCAGCUGUUGGCCUCGCUGGAGCUGCUGGUGUCGUCGGCGUACGUCACAGCCCCGAAGUUCGCGCCCAUAACCGAGUACGUGAAUCCGUACGUAGGGUGGACCGUAGACGAGGUGGUAAAUAAGCUGCUGCAGCCACUGGUUGGCCUCGUCGGCCGCAACUACGGUAGCGUGCGGAAGAUCCUGCUGCCCCAAGUGUGUCAGCUGGUGAAACCCAAACCGGCCGGCUCGCGGCUAUAGCGAGCUUGAGAGCCUGCAUGGCUCCACGCAUGCUUUUUAAAAUUUUGCAUGCAUGCAAUAUGUUUUCGCCCCCCGUAUGGAUUGCAUAAUGCGUACCGCCGUUAGCUUGGAGUCCUAGUCCUAGUCCGAGUCCGAGUCCCAGUCAGUUUACUUUACGGUGCUUGUUUUGCCCUUUUGAAUAAAAUGGGGGCGGGGCGAUGUCGGUCUGAGUGAGUCUCUGUCGAUCCUUUGUCAUUUACUAUAUGCUUCUGCAUCUCUCAUUUAUUCACGAUUGUUUGGAUUGGUCUUCAAAAGCAUAUAUAUUUGGAUUACCGGAACUUUCUGGGUGUGGAUGGAAUUAACUUAGGAGCAUUAUUGUAGCUCGAUCGAGUUCCUCUAAGGUCGCAAAAAAAAAAAAAAAACUUGAAUUUAAAAAUUUCGUCACCAAACUUGAACUUACAAAUAUCGAUCUCAUUACAAAUGCCACAAUCCCCAGAGAAAACACAAAGUACGACCGAAGCGAUAUGGAUUGGGCCUGGUCCAUCGAACCAUUUUGAAUCGUGGCAACGGUUGGCCUGGUCCGAUAGAUAUAUAGAUCACUCGUUUCUUUCCUGGCUCAAGGUCGAAAAGAUGUAAAGCUAAGUGUUUGGAGCUAGCCAUAUAUAGAUGGACUUGGGGCUCACGGACAACCAACAAAUCAAAUAUGUACAACAAAAUGGUGCGCACGUUUUUUUCUACUUCAAAGGGGAUGCACAAAGAAUAAUAUAAAUUGUAAAGAGAAUAUUGUGAGAAAACUGAGGGAUUAAUACAUUGUUUUCAAUCAAAGGUUCAAACAGUGAAUUUUCUUCUUUUCUUUUUUUUUUUCUUUUUUUUUGCGAGAUAUGUAGCACACUACCCGCUUCGUUUAUUUCAUUUAGAAAUAAACUUAGCUGUAAAUGUAAAUCAACUAGGAUUCGAACUUGGGUCUCGGUACUAACCACCAAGCCUUUUACCACUUGCUCUAGGAACGAUUGGUCAAAUAGUGAAUUUUCAAACUGAUAUAAAAUGCAUGUACUCUGAACUACGUACCAUUCAUAAGAGCACCGGAUCGAGGUGCGAUCUAAACUUUGAUGACAUGGCCCCAAGCUAGCUGGAUUUACUAGCGUAGCAAUUUCCUUUGUUAUACUGUGAAUAUCGAUGCUUUAAUUAGUAGGAUUACAAUUUACAAUUAGUGAGGAUUACAUACAUCCUGAGGGUGGAGGAGUCGGAAGAGCACCACUGUCACUGCCGGAGUGCCACCCUGAAAGUCCGUGGUGCGGUGGCCUGCAUUCUCAACGACACCAAGGGCGUGGAAGGCCUCAUAACUACCGGCGGAUUGCCGACGAGGCUUGAUGCUAUUAAUAGCAUUCUAGCCUAUUUUUAUAUGAGUCUGGUUACAAUACCAUUAAUAGCAUCAAACACUUAUUACUAUCAAGUUUUCCGCUAUAAUGCAAGAGAAAUUGAUAAAAAGAUAUUUUGGUGACAGGGAAAAUUUUAGAUUAAAUAAAAAAAUAUUUCAUACAUAUUAACAAAAUAAUAAUAAUAAUAAUAAUAAUAAUAAUAAUAAUAAUAAUAAUAAUAAUAAAUAAUUAAAUAACUAAAAAUAAAUUAAGUUUGAAAAAUAGAAUAAUUAAAAAAAUCUAUCAAAUCAUUAGUUAUUUAAAUUCAAAUAAUAGAUUCAAAAUUAACUUUAAUUUUUGAGUCUAGUAAUUCAUAUAAUUUAAAUCUAAAUUUUUAAUUUUAAUUUUAAAAUUAAUUUACAUUUUAAAUUAAUUUAAAUUUUAAAAUUUUGGAUAUACAUACAUAUUAUAAAAAAAUGUGUAUAUUAUGGAAUACAUAAAAAGAAAUUUACGAUGUAACUAAAUUUAAAAUAUACUUGAAAAUAAAUCAAAUUUAACAAAUAAAUCAAUUAAAAACUAGAUUUAUGCCACGUAUUUACCACUACAACAGAAUUAGGUUAUAGGGACACAUGUUUGGGACAUUUUUGAGUAAGUGUCCUAUUUAUCCUAAAACUUAAAAAAACAUCUACUAAUACCUAAAUAUAAAACCCAAUCCAACCAAAAAUAAAAGAUUACUCUAUUCAACCCACCACACCCAGUCCAUUUGGCCCGAUUACAAACAGAAAAGAAUAAAAAAAAAAAAAUCAAUUACCAUCUUUUCUUCUCUCUUCACUCAAUCCACUGAAAUUCUAGACGAAAAGCCUUUCCUGUCGUCCUCCUCCGCCACCGCAGCCAACGAGAUAGAAUUUCGGCGGUUGCUAAAUGCUUAAAUAAGUGUUGGUAAAUUAGCAGCACUCUUUUAGAUUAUAGCGACACUCUUUAACUGUCACUAUAUACUUAGCGACCCCACAUAUAGCAACACUUUUUAAAAAUAUCGGUAAUUUUAGCUAACAGCACUUUUUGACAUGUACCUAUAUUUAAAAGUGUCACUAUAAACCGUUUUUGUUGUAGUGUUAAAUUUAAAAUAUAAAUUAAGAAUAUACUUUAACUUUAAUUUUUAUACUUAAAUUUGAUUUCCUUUACAAAUGUGAGAGCACAACGACAUGCACUACAAACAAUCAGUCGCACAUCUUUGAUUGUAUGUUACUUUGUUGGACACAUUACAUCGUUGGUUGGUCACUAAACUUUUAAUAAAAUUUAAUUUAGAUCAUUGAACUUAAAUUUUGUUGUUGUAUUAUUAGUCAUUGAACUUUUAGUAAAAUUCUAUUUAGGUCAUUAAAUUUUAAAUUCUUUCAACUAUUAUUUGUAAAAAAAUUCAAUUAAAAUUUGAGCAGUAACUUAAUUGAAAUAAAAAUUAAAGUUCAAUGCUUAGUUUGGAACAAAGUAAAAUUUAAUGAUCUAAACAAAAUUUCACCAAAAGUCCAGUGAUCAAUGGUGUUAUGUACAGAAAUUUUAUUUGUAGGCUAAAGGAAGAAGCUCAGUGAAAUAUAACUGGAUGGAAUAUUUUAUCCUAGUAGAGUUAUCAACUACUUCUGUCAUUAUAUUUUCCGAAUGAGCAAUGCAAUCUAUAAACACGUACAGUACUUCAUUCAAUCAAAACUUUUUUUUUUUUUUUUUGAGAGAUAGGUAGCAUGUUAUUCGGUUCGUUUAUUUCAGUUAGAAAUAAAUUUAACUGGAAAUGUAAAUAAACUAGCUAGAAUUCGAAGUCGGGACCUUAGGUACCAACCAUCAAGCCCUUUACCGCUUGCUUUAGGGAUGGUCGGUCAUUCAUCCAAAAACCUACAUUUUUUUUUCACUUGUCUUACUAUUUAGUUUUAAUACUUCCCAUUGUAUACGUGUCUACGAAUGUGCAUUUUCCUUUUCCAUUCCAUACAUGGCUAUAUUAAUUUACUGCAUUUGGUCUCAUUAACUUNAUUUGUAGGCUAAAGGAAGAAGCUCAGCGAAAUAUAAUUGGAUGGAAUAUUUUAUCCUAGCUAGUAGAGUUAAUAAUUACUUCAAUCAUUAUAUUUUUUGAUUGAGCAACGCAAUCUAUACAUAUACUUCAUUUUUCCAAAAGUCUACAUUUUUUUUUUCUUGUCUUAUUAUUUAUUUUUAGAGUCAAUUGCUUAUAUAUUCCUGAAAAGUUUCUGACUUUCUGAUUUAUCUCUCUUAGAAGGCUAAUAUUGAAAAUAUUUUUUUUACGUUCCAACCUAUUUCAAAUAUACUUUUAGAGUUAAAAUCUGUUAAUGAACUUUGUUAUUUGUAUAAAAUUAUUAUUUUGCCCUUUCUAAUAUUUCAUUCUAUCAUCACCGACUUUUCUUAUUUGUCCUUAAAUCAGGAGCACAAAAAGUAUUUUGACUUUUGGUCUUUUCAAAUAUAUUCCUCUAUCAUCACCAAUAUUUUUUAUUUAUCCUUAAAUUAAGGGCAAAAUUGACAUUUUAAUUUUUUUUAACUGUGGUGUGGUAGAUAUUUAACUCACGUUUAAUCCAAGUUAACUUAACGGGUGGUAACUGGAUAGGUAUUUUGAAAUAACGGAGAAACAUAUGAGGGAUAUAUUGGAAAGAAAAAAAAAAGGAAUAAAUGAGAUAUUUUCGAAGUUUGAGGUAUAUAUAGGCAAUUAUCUCUUAUUUUUAGUACUUCCUAUUGUAUACGUUCUACGUGCAUUUUCCUUUUCCAUUCCACAUAUGGCUAUAUUUAAUGCGUUCGGUCUCAUUAACUUACUUACGUAAUUUGCCUAACUGUAUCUCAUUUAGAAACUCUCGAAUACACUAAAGGCGUGUUUGGUUCGAAGUCGGAGUCGGAAUCGGAAUCAGAAUCAAAAUAAGCUGAAAUCGGAAUCGGAAUGACUCAUUACCUAAAUUUUGUUUUGUUCAUCACCUGAAUCGGAAUUCAAAUAAAUCAUUCCCAUUGUCAGUGUUUGGUUCAGAUGGAUAUAAAAAAGUAAUCAAAUUAAUAUACUAACAUUAUCUUUAUAAUAUAUUAAUUUAAAUUCAAAUUAAAUAUUAAAUAUUAAAAAUUUACAUCAAAAUUUUGAAAUGAUGUCAAAAUUUUAAAUCUAUUUUUUAAAAAAAAUUAAACUUUGAAGUUGAGUGGAUAAUUCAAAAUAUGAAACUAAAUUUUGAUUUAUUCAAAUUCAAACUUAAAAUUACAAUUUAAAUUUUAAUUUGAAUCCAUAAAUUUAAUUUAAGUUUGAAAUAAAAUUUGAAUAAACUUUAUAUAAAUUAAAAUUUAAUUUAAAUUCAAAUUCAUAAGUUAGAUUCGAAAUACUUGAUUAAAUUUUAAUUUUUAAUUUAAGUUCAAAUUAAAAUUUAAAAUUAUAUAUUUAAUUUUUAAAUUUUAAAUCAUAUUUUAAUUAAAAAAGUUGAAAAAAUAAAUUUAAUCCGAAUAAAUAUCCAUUCCGUCCGGAUUCAACUUCUAAUCCGGCCUUCUAGGCCGGAUUGAAAAAAGGGGUGAUUGAGCGAUUCUCAUUCCACUCGGGAAUGGAACUCCCACAUAUCAAACAUCCACAAAUGAAUUCACUCAUUCCCAUUCCGAUUCCAUGGUGAAAAAGAAGCGAACCAAACAUGCCCUAACAGUUAAAGUAUAUCUAAAUUGCACUAUUAGGAGCCCAGCAGUCGUUGCACUCUCAUAUUGUUAUAUAUCCAUCCACCAAAAUGAUGAAUGGUUUCGAUUAGGCCCAUUUUUAAGGUGUAAAAUUAGCGGGUUAAUAGUGGUGUUAUAUAGACCAAAAUAUGAUUUGGAUCAAGAAAAUUUAUUUUGACGAAUGAUAGCAAGAUAGAAUGCAAAUAUACCAUGUAGAUGAAGGCAAAUUAAUACAUUAGAGUUGCCGAAGUUUCGAGGGAAACUUAUGUACACAUUAGUUCGUGGCUUCUUUGACAAUUUUAAAAAAGUUUAACUCUUGAGUUUUCAAUUUCUACUUCCAAAAAUUGUCGUUGAGAGAUAUCUUUUAGUAGAAUUAAUUUGUGAAUAUUUUGUUCCUAAAAUAAUUUCUUAUUCUCUUAGUAAAGUUUAAUUCUCUAAGUUAGACAUGUAUAUAUAUGUGGCUUCAUUUGGUUCGGAUAUAAAUAAGAACUGCUUAUUUCAAGAAUAGAUAUAAGUUUUAUAAGUAGAAACUAGACCAAUUUUGCGUUCCUAAGAAUAAGACAAAUAAUAUUUGAAUGAUUAGAUUGAAACAGAGACAAUAAGAAUUAUGAUUUUAAGUUAAAAAAUUUUAAUCUAAUUAAUUAACAUCAAAUUAGGUUGUUCAUAUUUGGAUGAUUAGAUUGGAACAGAGGAAAUAAGAAUUAUAAUUUUAAAUUAAAAAUAUUUAAUCUAAUUAAUUAACAUCAAAAUAUUAAUUAAAAAUAAUUUAAUAAACUAACAAAUUUAUUAGCUAUGAAUAUUGUAUAAGAUAAUAAAACUAUAUUAAAUAAAUAAAUAAGUAAUUUUAUUUUUUAAUUAGUUAGUAAGUUAUUUUAGUCAGAUAAUUAGCAAAAUAAUUAAUUAGAUUAGUUAAAAUAUUAAUAGUUGAUCAAUAUAAAUAUUAAUUUAUGAAUAAACCUAUGGAUUUACCCAACAUCUUUUGCUUGAAAAACCGUUUGAUUCAUUUAGAGGAUGAACUGACCUCCAAUCUAAGACGACCGGGCCUCUGAAAAGAAAAAAAAGAAAAUCAUAUUAAUUAAGACAAAGUAAAGAACAGAUUAACCUCCUCUACAUUCUUUGUCGCUCACCGUCUUCUCCGGCCUUUUGUGGCUGGAAAUCUGGCCAAAGAGAUUGAACUCUUAUCAUUUUUUUUUGUCUCUAUACACUUUCUUAUUUCAUAUAUCAUCAGUUGUUCCUCCAACUACUUCACUGCAGUCAUCCAGUUUUUUAUUUUUUAUUUUUUCUGUUUAAUCUCCUCUUUCCCUUAACUCUCCGAGCUUUUCUCUCAUCCUUUUCUUCGGUAGAGCACUAUAGGUUUUAUUGUCAGAUGUGACUCGAAGUCUACUAUCGUUUUCACGUUCGGGUUUACGACUCGCCGACAGCUUCGCGGUGCGACCAAUUUGGAAAAAAAAAUUAUGGAGAAAAAAUGAAUGUCUGUGGUGGGUACGGAUCGGAUCCGAAACCCGUUAUGAGUUUUCUUUUUCGUUUGAGCGUUUGUCGUAACAUUUAUGAACAUCGAUCCUUCGAACUUGAAGAGGUAGCGGGAGCACUAAUUGGAGCAUUGGAGGUGACCAAACAAAAUAUAUUCAUGAUCACUGCCUUCGACCGCGAGUUUGCGAUUAUUUUCAGAGCCCAUGCACCCAAACUCCUCUUUUCAAUGGUUUGCUCAAAUCCAGCUCCGCACAGGCCUUCUCAAACCGUAACAGUGGUCUCAUCCACUCAGAGGGGCCUCAGCGAGUAUAUUCAUUAAUUGGCCACGGACCCUCAGAAAGUACAGUAGACGAGUCAGAUUUUGUUAGUACAUCUGAAAUUUAGGCUUAUCACAGGGAACAUGGUACCAUGUCUCCCAAAUAUGUAUGUGUGCCAUAUUCUGGACAUUUAAUUGCAAAGUCUAGCUAGUCAGGAUAUUAAUUAACCUCCCAACCAAAUCUAGUAUUUCGGCCGCUUAAUUGGCUCCUGCAUUUUCUAGAGCAUCUUCAUCCGUGGCGACGUGAUAAUCAGUAUUGGCCUUGAGCUUAAUUGUUGAGGACCGCAUCUAGAGUACGUAACCCUCUCCUUCGCAAGGUGGGAUACGUACGUGGUCCUUAACUUAAUUUCCAGCAACUUCACAAUUAUUUUUUGUCUUACAUUUACGGCUGAAUUUUUUUUUUAAAAAAAAUAAACAAAAUAAAUAGCAUGCAAUCUUUUCUUCAAAAAAAAUUUGUUUUAGUUCAACACAUUUUCUUAGGAUAUUGUCUUGGACAUGAUGUAUCUGUAUAUAAUGCACCAUAUUUAAUUUUUGAUAUUGAUUAAUGCAUUAAAAUUAAAACGUAAUUUCAUAUAUGUAACCUACACCUUUAAAAAGCUUGACUUGAAGAAUCUAUUAUCCAGUAAUCAAGUAAGCUAAAAUAUGGGUUUAGUUUUAAAAAAAACGCACAUAUUAAAUGUAAUAUAUAUAUAUAUAUAUAGAGAGAGAGAGAGAGAGAGAGAGAGUUGAGCUAGAAUACUAUCAAUAGUAAACGAGCCGUUUUACUACCGAUUUGUUUUCGAUGAUAGAACUUCCAAAUUGACGAUCAGCUCCGUUGAACAUGAUCUAUACCACUUGAAGUGUUUAGAAAUCAAAUUUCAAAUCUUUUCGACAUCAUUUGCCUAAUGAUCAAAGGGUUUCAAAUUUUGUAAUUUUAAUGGUUGAUCAGAGGCGUUUUCUCGUUUAACGGUGUAAAGAUAUCCAAAUUAAUUGAAUUUUUGUUAGAAAAUUCUUUAAACUAUUUAAAACAAGAUCUAUACUCUUGAUCUUGAUUACAAGACUCCUAUCGUCAUUUUUUAAAGAGUGUUCAUUUUCAGUCAUUCAUUUUUCUGUUCACUUGAUGGAUAAAAGAACAAUAUCGAAAGUGCGUGAAAUUUGAUUUCUAGAUAGUUUAAANUAUAUAUAUAUAUAUAUAUAUAUAUAUAUAUAUAUAUAUAUAUAUAUAUAUAUAUAUAUAUAUAUAUAUAUAUAUAUAUAUAUAUAUAUAUAUCGAAAUAAUAGUAGUUUGAGAGUAAAUUACUACAUCACAUUAAAAGUAUGUAAUAGCCAUUUCAACUGCUAUAUUAUCUCAAAAAUUAUAAUUAUUUAAUUAUUACAUCACCUAAAAAGUUGGUUUGAUAAUUAAAUUAGUAGUUAGAUCGAUCAUCUAGCAGGUAGGCGUAUCAUUUCUAGAAUUUGAUGUAAUAACUAAAUUAGUUAAUUACUUUAUUGAUUUAUUUAAAAAUAUUGAAAAAUUAAACAAAGUGAUAUAUAUAUAUUUAAAAUAGAAACUAAAGUCUAGUAACUUAAUUGAAAUAAAAAGUUAAUUGCACCGUCGGUCACUGAACUUCAAGUGAAACUUCGUUUAAUUCAAUGAACUUUAUUUUUUAUUCAUUUCAUUCAUUAAAUUUUGAUUUUAAUUUCAAUUGUGUAACUUUAAAAAACUUCAUAUAAUUUUGAACAAUGCUACUUCUACACCAUCAAAGGAGGAUAGGAUACGUGGAUCGUAAGCGCUAACAAACUAUUCCAAAAAUACGUACUGAUAAAAAGGAUGCACUCAUUAUACUUAGGGACUCAGUCACAGUGCUCGCAGACUUCAACCUAAUUCAAUCCUUCUGAACAUUAGGUCUAUUGUUUAGUCUUUUACCGUUAUGUUUCUUGUGAGCCGUACUUCCACUUAACUUACUAGACUUACCGAACUUAACUUAUUAAUUUUUUAAAUUUAUUACUUAUCAUGGAGCAGAAUGUUGGACAUAUUUUAGUCCAAUAUUAAAUAGUCAACAGGAUAUCCACCCCACACUUGAAUGGGUGGGGUGUAUAUUCUAAUUUUUCAAGCACAAUGAUAAAGAGACAGUUAAUUAAUUUAGUUUCCACGACAUUUUUUAGAGAUGUCGCCGCUACAAAUGUCUCUAUUGCCAAAUAACUAGGUUGUCUGGUGCUAUCAAAUUGCGUUAUUGGUAUGACAUCAUUGGUAGUUGAAUAGUGAUAACUUCGAGACGACGUAGUAGCUGAAGUGACGAACGACUAUCUUCAAAUCAUGUUCUCCUCCAAACACUCUCCAACCGACCGUAGCGCAAGAGAUAAAUGAUUUGAUGAUUGAUACCCGAUGUUUCAAAUUUGAAUCCUACUUGAUUUAUAUUUUUAGUUAAGUUUAUUUCUAAAUAAAAUAAACGAAGUAAAUAGCUUGCUAUUUAUCUCUCUCGCAAAAAAAAAAAAAAAACUUUUCCCGUUACGCUUGCACAUUUGGUACAUCUUUGUGUGAAAAAAUCGUCCCAUGAGGUCGUAUUUGUAGUAAAAUUUGAACCAAAUCAAACAACUAGCACGUUUGCUUCACAGUUUAUAAUAUUUCAGUAUUCUUUUGUAAUUUCUGUUGAAAAUGCUCAAAUCAUUAAUUAUCGUUGAACUUAAGUUAGAUAGUUGCAAAAGGUGUUAGCAAAAUAAUAAAAUUAAUGUUAAUUUCUACGUGAUAGAUAUGGUAGAUUAUUAUGAGUAAUUAUGAGAUAUUCUCAUUAAUUUUUCAUAUUUGAUGGAUUCGUUAGAAAUCCAUUAAUAAGAAUAUACCAGAUUUUAAAAAUCCUCCAACCCAAGUGGUUUGAUAAAUUAGUAACAACUUAUUAUUUCAAAUAUAAAAUAUAUAAUAUUUUUAGAAUAUUAUAAACAUUGAAGCAAACAAACCCUAAUAGGGACAAUAUUUCAAACCAUUUAUAUUUUUCCUCUUUUUGAGUGUGAUUCAAACCAAAUCUAGUAACUAAUGACACAAAAUUUGUCACCAAAAUCCGAUUUAAUUUGGUUAUUGAGAUCCUUAAGCAACAAAUGUUUUUAGAUUUAAUUUUUAUUUGUCUCUCCUAUCUAAUUGGUCAACUUGNCUCAAAUAUAUAUUUUAGAAACUCAAUCUCUCAAAUAAACCCUGAAAAUAGGAAUAGAAAAAAAAAGGAAAUUCUUUUAAUCGUAUAUUUAACGUUUUAAGGACAUAUUUGAAAUAAAGAAUUAAUAAAAACAAUUUAGCAAUUUUAUAAGAAUAUAUUUGAAAUAAUGAAUAAUAAAAAAAAUAAGGAAUUUUAGGCCUGAGUACUUAUAUUAUCCUUUUCUAUUAAGUCGUAUUCUGUUGUGAUGCUAAAAUCUAGAAGUAAAUGAGGUCUUUUACUAGUGCAUCAUUUCCGCUGAUAGGACACUUAAAUCAACAACCAGCACCAUUAAAUUUGAUCAUGACCAUUUGAACUUCUUAGAGUUCAAAUUUUAUAAUUUUUCUACGUAUCAUUUGCUUGCUAUUCAAGUGGUGUAGAAAUUGACUACUUUUAAUGAUUAAUAUUUUAGUGAAUUUGGGAUCAGUUAAUUAGCAACUAGACAAAUAAUGUUGUAAAAUCACAAAAUUUGAGUUUUAUGAAGUUCAAAUAGUCUAAGAUCAUAUCUAAUGGCGUCAACCCUUGAUUUGGAUGCUGAUUCAAUACCUGAAAUGAUUCGGCAGUAAAAACCUCAAUUUCUAGCUUUAUUCUCUCUUCACAAAUAUUUUAUCAAUAUAUUAUUAUUUCUUAUUUGGUUUCCCUUUUGUAUAGUAGUACAAACGUUUGCUGAGGAGUAGGAUUUGUGGAUAAAAUCCAAUUUUAUAUUUUUGUUUCAAAACUCUAAUAACUAAUUGUAUCAGAGAAGUUACUAAUUAAAAUCAGAAUAGUUUGCGGAACAGAAUUCUAAUAAUGGAUGUCAGAGCGGUUACUAAUUUAUAUCAGAGCAGUUUGUAAAUUCUCAGUAGUACCAUACGCCACUGCACACCAAAUGCGUGAACUUAGUUUUGACCAAUUAAGUGGUUAAGUUCUGAUAUAGAGAAUAACUGAUAGUAGUCAUAUUUUAUUAUGGAUCGAGAAUGACAAAUAGUAGUCAUAUUUAUCAUAGAGAAUGACGAAAAGACUGGUACAAUAUUAUUCUCCAUACAUUUUUUUUAAAGAGAAAGAUGGUACAUAUACUACUUGCUUCGUUUAUUUUUUAAAAAAAUAAAUUUAGUUUGCAAUAUAAAGUAAUACUAUAAAUUUGGAAUCUUGGGUAUCAACUUUCAAAUCUUUUACCAUCUGUGCUAGUGACAGUUGGCUACACAUCUUUCAAUGUAUAUUAUUUUGUUGGGUAAAUUAAUCAUAUUGGUUGGUCGUUAAACUUUAAACAAAAUUUCGUUUAGACCAUUGAAUGUUAAUUUAUUUUAUAAAAAAAUAUAUUAGUAGUUGUUGAACUUUUAGUAAAAUUUUAUGUAGGUUAUGAAACUUUAAAUUCUUUCAAUCCUUAUAUAUUUUGUACAAAAAAGAAAUUUAUUUAAAUUUGAGCAGUAAGUUGAUUAAUGAAAUAAAAAUGAAAGUUCAAUGUCUUGUUUGGAACAAAGUAAAAUUUGAUGAUCUAAACAAAAUUUCACCAAAAUUAAGUUCAGUGAUCAAUGAUGUUAUAUAUGUAGGCAAAUUUUUAUUCGUACGCCAAAGGAAGAGAAGCGCGGAGGAAUACAAUUGGUCGGAAUAGUUUAUCCUAGUAGAGUUAUUAAUUUGUUUUAUCAUCAUAUUUUCCCACAUUGAGCAGUUAAUGCUAUCCAUAUGCACACUCUACUCAUCCAAAAACUAUAGUAUUCCUUCACUAGUCUUAUUAUUUACUUUCAAUAUUAAAUAUAUUAAAAAAUUAUAUAUGAUUCUUAGAUGAACUGCGACCAUUUUUUUUUUAUUAUUUUGUCUACGUGCAUUUUGUACUUGUGUAAAAAAUUUAUAUAUAUUUUAUUAUUAUUAUUAUUAUUUUUAAGAGAAAUGUACGUAGUAUACUAUUCGUUUCGUUUAUUUUUUAAAAAAAUAAACUUAGCUGAAAAUAUGAAUCAGCUGGAAUUCGAACUUCGGACAUGGAGUACCAACUAUCAAAUAUAUUGCAACUUGUGCUAGGAACAGCCGGUUAUUUUAUUAUUAUUAUUGUUAUUAUUUGUCCUGCGGGCGGCGGCUGGCGAGUUCGAGUACCAUCGAUUGUCUAUAAAUAGAGGCAGCCUAGAAGCAGCCCUCCCACCCAUCGAUCGAGAGAACAAACAUAUAUAUAUAUAUAUAGGCACAUAUAGCGAGCUAGCAAGCUAGAAGAGCCAUGACUUCGAACUUGGUGAACUACAAGAUUAUCUACGACAACGUCGCCUUGCUGAACCUGUCGGGGACGGGGAAACACCUCGUCAGCCUGGCCCUCAUCAAAGAUUUCGACACAGCAGUCAGGAGGGCCGUCAAUGACAAAGUGGUCGGCCUCAUAACCGUCCACAGCGGCAACUGCUUCUCGGGCGGCCUCGACUACGAUUCGGCCCCCGAGGCGGUGUUGGUGGGGGCGUUCGCGAGCCUGAUUGCAAGCCUCAUCAGGCUGCCGUUCCCGACGGUGGCCAGGGUGACGGGCCAAGCGUGCGGGGCAGGAUUCACGCUGGCGCUCGCACAUGACUACUUGGUGCUAUCGACUGACUCCACUGUUAGUCUGUGCCAAAACGAGCUGACUGAGGGCCACGAGGUGCCGUCGUUCGCUGCUGCGCUGCUGUUCGGCAAGUUCCCGCGGUCGGUCGCUUGGGAGCUGGCAGUGUUGACGGUGCCAGUUAUUCCCCCAAAUUACUCGCCCAUAUCUGACUACGUGAAGAAGUACGUAGGGUGGAGCAUAGAUGAUGUUGCGACAAAACUGCUGGAGCCAGCUGCUGGCCGCGUCGGCACCGCUUACAGUGCCGUACGGAAGAGUCUGCUGGCCGAGUUGUGGGCGUUGGUGAAGCCCACAACAACUCAAGCCUAGUUUGGGCCUGCAUGCACGCAUGCAUGGUCGAUCGCCCCCUCGAUCAAUCGUCUCGCGUAGUAUAUAUAUAUAUAUGUACGUAUAUAUCACCGUUAGCAGGUGCGUGUCUGUUGGCUUCGAGUCCGAGUCCGAGUCCGAAACAGUAAUUUGUUGUGCUCGUAUUUCCCUUUGAAUAAAAUAGGGGGCGAUGUCCGUCGAGUCGGUCUGUGUCCUCGGCCCUGUACUGUGCUGGGAUGUUCUAUAUAUAUGCUUGUACUGGUAAUGAAUUAUGCUUGUGCGUGUGCGCGCGCGUCUUUAUUUAUUUUCGAGUGUUUGCUAGCUAGAUCUUUAAUCCCUGCUUAAGAUUAUAUUUGAACUCGACCUAAUUGAUCUGCUCAGAAAACACCAAGCCCAGUACGGUCUGGAUUGGGCCUGGUCCAUCGAACCAUUUGGAAUUGCGGCACGGCUUGGCCAGGUCCGAUGAUCAUGCACUUGUUUCUGUCCUGGCUCGAGGCCGAAAGACGUAAAGUGAAGCGCUCGGCGCCAUAGAUCGAUGCACUUGGGACUCGAAGGACAAUCAUCAAAUUGUAAAGACAAUAUGAGAAAAUUGAAGGACUAACGAGUUUUAUCAGGUUCAAACACUAAAUUUUCAAUAUGACAAAAAGUAACUGCAUGUGAACGACUAUAUAUAUAUAUAUAUAUAUAUAUAUAUAUAUAUAUAUAUAGAGAGAGGCUACUAUGGGCUAUCAGAAGCACCGAGCUUUCUAUGCUUCCAGCUCGUUUUCGAUUUGUGACUUUCGAAUCGUCGAUCGGCUCCGUUAAACUUGAAUCUAGAGUAUUUGGAGUACCUAGAAAAUAAAUUUUAUUAUUUUUCGAUAUCAUUUGCCUAGUGAUCGAAUGAGCUCAAAAUCAACAAAUUUCAAUGGUCGUAGUGUGCCGUUUGCAAGUUUAACGGUGUAGAAAUAUCCAAAUCACGUGAAAUUUUGAUAGAAAAUUCUUUAUACUAUAUAAAACAAGAUCAAUAACUUUGAUUUAAAAUUUUAAUGUCAUAUUAUUACAUUUUGUAAGAUUUUUAUUUUCAGCCGUUGAUUUUGAACCCCUUCGUUCACUAGGCAAAUGAUAUCGUAAAAUUAUAAAAUUUAUUUUCUAGGUACUUCAAAUACUCUAGAUCAAGUUUAACGGAGUCGAUCGACAAUUCGAAAGUCGCAACAUCGAAAACAAGCUGGAAGCACGGAAGACUUCGUGCUUCCGAUAGCAUAGUAACCUCACUCAUAUAUAUAUAUAUAUAUAUAUGAGGUU